rnacentral:rRNA from 1 species
GACGAACGCUGGCGGCGUGCUUAACACAUGCAAGUCGAACGGAAAGGCCCUGCUUUUGUGGGGUGCUCGAGUGGCGAACGGGUGAGUAACACGUGAGUAACCUGCCCUUGACUUUGGGAUAACUUCAGGAAACUGGGGCUAAUACCGGAUAGGAGCCCCUGCUGCAUGGUGGGCGUUGGAAAGUUUCGGCGGUUGGGGAUGGACUCGCGGCUUAUCAGCUUGUUGGUGGGGUAGUGGCUUACCAAGGCUUUGACGGGUAGCCGGCCUGAGAGGGUGACCGGCCACAUUGGGACUGAGAUACGGACCAGACUCCUACGGGAGGCAGCAGUGGGGAAUAUUGCACAGUGAGCGGAAGCCUGAUGCAGCGACGCCGCGUGCGGGAUGACGGCCUUCGGGUUGUAAACCGCUUUCGCCUGUGACGAAGCGUGAGUGACGGUAAUGGGUAAAGAAGCACCGGCUAACUACGUG